rnacentral:rRNA from 1 species
UUCCAGUCCAAUAGCGUAUAUUAAAGUUGUUGCAGUUAAAAAGCUCGUAGUUGAAUUUCGGGGUUAGUAGGUUGGUCAUGCCUCUGGUAUGUACUGAUCUCACUGAUUCCUCCUUCCUUAUGAACCGUAAUGCCAUUAAUUUGGUGUUGCGGGGAAUUUGGACUGUUACUUUGAAAAAAUUAGAGUGUUUAAAGCAGGCUAACGCUUGAAUACAUUAGCAUGGAAUAAUGAAAUAGGACGUUCGAUCUUAUUUUGUUGGUUUCUAGGAUUGACGUAAUGAUUAAUAGGGAUAGUUGGGGGCAUUAGUAUUCAAUUGUCAGAGGUGAAAUUCUUGGAUUUAUUGAAGACUAACUACUGCGAAAGCAUUUGCCAAGGAUGUUUUCAUUAAUCAGGAACGAAAGUUAGGGGAUCGAAGACGAUCAGAUACCGUCGUAGUCUUAACCAUAAACUAUGCCGACUAGGGAUCGG